rnacentral:rRNA from 1 species
GCCUACGGGGGGCAGCAGUAGGGAAUUUUCGUCAAUGGGCGCAAGCCUGAACGAGCAAUGCCGCGUGAACGAGGAAGGUCUUCGGAUCGUAAAGUUCUGUUGAAGGGGAAAAAGAGCGGAGAGAGGAAAUGGUCUCCGAUUGAUAUUACCCUUCGAGGAAGUCACGGCUAACUACGUGCUAGCAGCCGCGGUAAUACGUAGGUGGCGAGCGUUAUCCGGAAUGAUUGGGCGUAAAGGGUGCGUAGGCGGCCUGCUAAGUCUGGAGUGAAAGGUACCGGCUCAACCGGUACAGGCUCUGGAAACUG